GGGCUGUUCUGUUUCUCAAAGGAGGCAUCUUAGUGGUUGAAUCCGGGGGUGGGGAGGAAUCUAGAGUUGUGUAUUGUUAGCAAGACUCAGUUUAUCUGUUAAUGCAGCUGCAGCGCUGCUACCGUGCAGGAAGUGAGCCUGUCCAGGAUGGGAGCCGGGAGGUGAGCUGUGCUGGGGGGACGCCAGGUGCAGAGGCAGAGUGUGGGCCCAUGAGGGGGCGCCGUGCGCCUUCAGACUACAAGGUUGCGGUUGGCCUUUGUUUUCCAAGACCCUCCUGAAGUCUAAAACUUCUAGAAGACACUGCAGGAAACAGCUCUGCCUCCAGGUGUCUUGAAAACUGAGUUUCCUUUCACCGACCUUCACUCUACCCUGGUCCUCCCUUUAUUUUUAUGACCAUCUCCCGUCCCAUCUACCGGUUUUAGACAUGAAAUUUCCAUGAGACAUUUGACCCUUCAGUUUGGGUUUUAAAAGCCAGCCAGCAGUAAUUUCCAGCUGCAAUUUUUGAAUCAACUCCAGCUAGACAGAUGUAACUUCUCUUCUGGGCCUCUUCAUAUACCCCAGAAUAACUCACCACCAUCAAUUUCACCUCCACAAUUUGGCUUAUGCUUUUUUUCUCUGCUGACCCAAGUCCUCCUUCUUGGUUAAGGAUGCAUCUCUCAAUUCAGAACUCUACAGCAUCUCUCCUUUCUUGGUCAACAAUCUCCUCUCCUUCAAACAGACCCUAAGCUCCUUGAGGGCAGGCACCACGCCUUCUGCUUCACUCGCAGAACUUUAUACAGUCCUGGGGAUAUGCCAAGGGCUCAGUAAAGGCCUCAGCUGCCCCAAGGGCAUUUGUUUCCAUCCUUUCUGAUCCCAUGGACUGCCAUAUUCUUCUUCUUACUUUUCUGUGUAACCAGUAAAACACUGUAACAUCUGAAUCAGCUCAUUUGAACCCCUCUUGCUUUGGGGCCAUUGAGUUUGAAGGCCUUUAAGUCAGUCAUGGGUCUGGGCUACAGCUUCAUAAUUCUCUAGCUAAGGUAGCUUGGGGGAAUCACUUGAAUGGUCAUCUCAGUUCUCACAUCUGCAAAAUGAGAAGAUAGUGAUGGCAACCAUGUUCUAUGCGAGGAUGGAUGAUAUACAAAAUAUCUGGCAUGUGACACAGGUUGGAUAUCCUGGGUUUUUUUUUUUAACCCUCCUCCCUUCUUCUAUUACACUUUCAAGUCUCACUGGAAGGAACUUGUUUCUUCCUCAUCCACUAAAUCUAAAUCCACCUCUCCUUCCUCCUGCUGAGUUCCUUUUUUUUUUUUUUUUGCCUGUUUAAACUCAGCAUCUCUGCAUCUCAGCAUCCUGGGAAGAGGGCCUGGCUGGAUUUCUAAGGAAGGUUGUGGCCACAGGCAGACAGCUCGGUGUGGAGCCAGACGCAGCUCAGUUCCAUCGGUGCCCAGCCCUGGGUUCCUGUGCUCCCGGAAACAUUAUCAAGUUGCAGGGAAUUUGGUAGCACUAAUCAAACAUUUGCUGUGCAUCACCUGUAACUGGUGUGUACUUUAAGAUAAGGUCUGGCUUCAGAUUGGAGGCUGGUGAUUAGAGCAGUAAAUUAGCCCCACUUUGUGGUUGCAGGUUUUCUUGGCCCACGUAGCACAUUGGAGCAGAUUUCAGAGUGCAGAUGUUUUUCUGCUUUCCCUUUCAUCUCUAAGGAGAACAAUGACAAUAUCCUGAUGUUCCCCUGCCAUCCGAUUAUUCCCAUUUUGCUUCUGUGCUUUAGCUCACCAGUCACAAAAGGCAGGCAAAGCUUGUUGGUCAUCUUUGCUUCAAGGUGCCAUCAUGGUGGUAUGUAUGUGGUUUUUCAGCUGAGUGAGACCAUAGUGAAGGUCUUACUCAAAUCAUAAGGGAGCUUUCACCUUUACUUGAGGAUAAUUGGCCAUUUGGAUUUAAUCCCAUAGGUCAGUCUCACCCCAGCACCCACACAAGUACACACACCUGCCAAGGUCCUCAGUUUCCUGGUGCUUUUCCACUUGAGCAUGAGCUGCAAGGCCGGUCAGCCAUAGGGCAAAUGGCUGGGCAGCUGAGGGGUGGACAGAGCACCUCGUGGGGGCAAUUGGGUCCAUACCACCCAGCAGAGGGCAGCAGUGCCUAAGAGUCGAUCCUAAAUCCAUCCAUUUACUCAGACACAGGCCAAAGCAGGCUGGGGGUGACUUUGGAGCAUCCUUGGCAGCCCCAUGAGAGUGGGGGAUAUUUCCUUUGUGAAGCCUGUUGGCUGAUUCCAUACUGAGGAGCAUAGAAAUCCUAGGGCCACAAAGCCCUCUAGAGAGCAAGGUUUGUUCCUGAAUUCCCAGGCUGGUCCUGGAAGUGUCCACACUGCUUUUCGUAUUGAAGGUGAAAUCAGCUGCUGGAGGGGCUAAUCACACCUGACUUAAACUCCAAAUCAUAAGGGAAUAUGGUUCCUUCCAAUAAUGCAAGAGAGAUCAACUCCAGCUGGUAGAGGAGAUAAUUCACUGCCCAGUAAGUACAGACUGGCUGCCUUCAUCUGUGGUGGGAGGUUUAUCAGAAGAGUUCAAGAGCAGCUUCCACAGAGGGCUCAACUAUAAAGCUACAGCACCCAAAGUGGAGCAAACCUUCAUUUCCUUGGACCCUGUCUCAAAUCAUCCAGCCAAGGCCGAGAUGCUACGAACGGUUCUCUCCAGCACCCUUUCCUGAGAUACCACUUCACCAUGAUGUGCAUCCUUGCUUGAUUGAAAGAGUAAUAACCCCAACAUGUUCAACUACAGGGGAGAAGUUUAUUUGCAAACUGCAUGAGGUGACUUUGGGCAGCACGGAAACAAGGCAUCACCCAGGAGUUCUGUGCACAGGGCACUCUGCGAUGACCCGCGCUUGACAAGCUCUUAAAGAGCCAGGCAGAUUCUUUACUGUCUGAGCCACCAGGGAAGCCCAUCUAAGAAGAUAAUAUUCUUCCCAUCUCUUCAAGAACAUUUGUUAACUGUGUAUCAGUUAAACCUGUCUCAUGUCCUUUAAAAAACUUCAUUUCAAUAUUCAUGCUUAUCAAUGAAUUUACUUGUAAAGCAAGCACCAAAUAUAUGCAUUGAGUAAAGAAAACAGUCAGAUUCAAAGGUAUCCAUUAUUUACAACUGAACAUCUUCUCUGGGCUAGAUCUGCAAAACGAGCAUUUAUUGACUCUCAGAAGAUAGACAGUAAGCAAACAUUAUGGGAAGCAGAAGAACACAAGGGUAACAAGAGAGUAUCUCAAAUCAGAAGGACUGGGAUUUGUAUCCAGGUUCUGCCUAUAUAUGUAAUUAUAGAUAAGUCCUUUGACCUAGCUAAGCCUCAUUUUGUUUCUCUGAAAAGGAUUAAAUAAUGUCACUAUUUAUUCGUUCAAUAAAUUGUAUAAGGGUUAAGUUGUUUUAGUAUAGUUUUAGUGCUUAAUAGAUAUUGGUUAUUAUUAUUAUCAUUAAUAGUCGAGACUAAUAUAGAGUGUGACCAGGUAGGAUAAGUGUGAAAAGAGCCUUAGGACAGGAGCUACUAAUUAUAGUUGAACAUCACAACAGGGUUUCCCUGGUGGCUCAGUCGGUAAAGAAUCUGCCUGCAGUGUGGGAGACUUCUGCUUGAUCCCUGGGUUAGGAAG